AAAUUAGUGUAAAGAAAAAAAAUACAAAUAAAUGCUUAAUGUGAACUACUGCAGUUUUAAACCUUAAGGUGGGAUUCAGAUCAAUGUCUGCUUUUCAAUCCGACCUCAAUAUAUAUCUACAAACAAAACAAAGUCGCAAGUAAAUGUUCUUCUGAGCGUUGUAAAAAGUAAUAUCUAUCUGAAUAUGUUCCAUCUAGUAGUGACAAGCUAAUUUACCUUCUAAAUGUACAUUGUUCAUUAAACAACAAUACUUUAUAUUUACAAUUAAAAAACUUCUAACUACUACUAGGUACUACUAGCCCUAAUAGUGGUUCGCUAUAUUUUACAAGAAUAGCAUUGUUUUACUUGUAUUUAUUGUAAAUUCAUAGCAAUUAAUGUAGGCACAUUGAUGGUGCUACAUUUGCUAAUUUUGAAAUCAGAAAGCAGUGAGUAACCAGUAUCUGGUACCAACCAAAUUAUGUCUCACGUGCUCGUCGAAGGUGAGGCUUUCCCAUUAUGGAUACAUUUAACGCAUCCCCACCAGGUUAAUGACCUAUGGAAUAACAAGGAGUUUAUGAUUGCAGGCAUAAUAGUAGGCGAGUUUCCGAAAUUUUGACAGAGACGCUUACAAAUUAUCCUUGAACAUUUAGCUAAAGUUGUUUACAUAACUUCCUUUGCAGUGAUACACGCCACUGGACAGAAGACGACGGACGAAUGCUUUCGUGACUUGGCAAAUAGGCAAUUGUUAGAAGAGGAAAGAGAGACGUUUAAUGUGAAAUUAAUACCUGUCGCAUUAAUACAUAAAAUAAAGACGAAAAAUAGAUUCACAUGUUCCACUGUACCUACAGUGAACCUACUAACAGCAGUUUAAUAAGAAAUAUAUAAUAUACAUAUUUACUGGGUUUGUGCAUUUCCCCUGCAUUUCUAUCCUCCCAUAUUUUCUUUCUACUGGUGAUUAAAAGGUAAGCUUGUUGAUGUAGGAAUCAUUGUUUGUUACGAAGCUUGUAUUACCUAUUUAACUCGAACCAUAGUACCGCCCACGCCAGUAAAGGUCCAGAAAGAGAACCAUAAUAAUACUUAUGUUAUGCGCAUUGUAUAGUCAAAAUCACCUAAGACAAUUUUGAACUAGAUUUGAACAUUGUUUACCUCGCGCAUGCGCAAGUAAUAACUUGAUUAGAUAAUAGACCAAAGUAAUGUGGCAUUGAUCAAGUCAGUAAAAAAAACAUAUAGUAUGUCUACCUAUAACAAACAUGUACAGAAUUUACAAAUAAAUUAACGGAUACAGAAAAGAUGUAUCAUAUCCACAUGCAAAACAAUUUUCUGUUGAAACAAAUUUAUAAGAAACUAAACAAGCUGGAUGAAAUAAAGGAUCAGAAGCCGGAUGAAAUAAAGGUACCUACCGAAUCUGUCGCUGAACACCUCCCAUUUCGUACAGUCGACGACUUGAUGCAGUACGAGGCAAAUUUAACUUCUAAAGCUAGAGAAGAUUUGGUAAAUUAUAUUAAUAAAC